rnacentral:rRNA from 1 species
CCUACGGGAGGCAGCAGUGGGGAAUAUUGGACAAUGGGCGAAAGCCUGAUCCAGCCAUGCCGCGUGUGUGAAGAAGGCCUUCGGGUUGUAAAGCACUUUCAGUGGGGAAGAAAGCCUUGGGGCUAAUACCCUCGAGGAAGGACAUCACCCACAGAAGAAGCACCGGCUAACUCCGUGCCAGCAGCCGCGGUAAUACGGAGGGUGCGAGCGUUAAUCGGAAUUACUGGGCGUAAAGCGCGCGUAGGCGGUCUGAUAAGCCGGUUGUGAAAGCCCCGGGCUCAACCUGGGAACGGCAUCCGGAACUGUCAGGCUAGAGUGCAGGAGAGGAAGGUAGAAGUCCCUGUGUAGCGGUGAAAUGCGUAGAGAUCGGGAGGAAUACCAGUGGCGAAGGCGGCCUUCUGGACUGACACUGACGCUGAGGUGCGAAAGCGUGGGUAGCAAACAGGAUUAGAUACCCGUGUAGUC